AGUAAAUAGAUACCCAGGUAGUCCACGCCGUAAACGAUGUCGACUUGGAGGUUGUGCCCUUGAGGCGUGGCUUCCGGAGCUAAACGCGUUAAGUCGACCGCCUGGGGAGUACGGCCGCAAGGUUAAAACUCAAAUGAAUUGACGGGGGCCCGCACAAGCGGUGGAGCAUGUGGUUUAAUUCGAUGCAACGCGAAGAACCUUACCUACUCUUGACAUCCAGAGAACUUAGCAGAGAUGCUUUGGUACCUUCGGGAACUCUGAGACAGGUGCUGCAUGGCUGUCGUCAGCUCGUGUUGUGAAAUGUUGGGUUAAGUCCCGCAACGAGCGCAACCCUUAUCCUUUGUUGCCAGCGGUUAGGCCGGGAACUCAAAGGAGACUGCCAGUGAUAAACUGGAGGAAGGUGGGGAUGACGUCAAGUCAUCAUGGCCCUUACGAGUAGGGCUACACACGUGCUACAAUGGCGCAUACAAAGAGAAGCGACCUCGCGAGAGCAAGCGGACCUCAUAAAGCGCGUCGUAGUCCGG
rnacentral:rRNA from 1 species